GGUUCUUUAGCUCAGUUGGUCAGAGUUAACGGCUCAUAACCGUUCGGUCGCUGGUUCGAGUCCAGCAAGAACCA
rnacentral:tRNA from 1 species